rnacentral:rRNA from 1 species
GAUGAACGCUGGCGGCGUGCCUAAUACAUGCAAGUCGAGCGAACAGACGAGGAGCUUGCUCCUCUGACGUUAGCGGCGGACGGGUGAGUAACACGUGGAUAACCUACCUAUAAGACUGGGAUAACUUCGGGAAACCGGAGCUAAUAACGGAUAAUAUAUUGUACCGCAUGGUUCAAUAGUGAAAGACGGUUUUGCUGUCACUUAUAGAUGGAUCCGCGCCGCAUUAGCUAGUUGGUAAGGUAACGGUUUACCAAGGCGACGAUGCGUAGCCGACCUGAGAGGGUGAUCGGCCACACUGGAACUGAGACACGGUCCAGACUCCUACGGGAGGCAGCAGUAGGGAAUAUUCCGCAAUGGGCGAAAGCUUGACGGAGCAACGCCGCGUGAGUGAUGAAGGUCUUCGGAUCGUAAAACUCUGUUAUUAGGGAAGAACAAAUGUGUAAGUAACUAUGCACGUCUUGACGGUACCUAAUCAGAAAGCCACGGCUAACUACGUG